CUCGUAGGCGGUUCAGUUAGUCGGGUGUGAAAACUCUGGGCUCAACCCAGAGACGCCACCCGAUACUGCUGUGACUUGAGUACGGUAGGGGAGUGGGGAAUUCCUGGUGUAGCGGUGAAAUGCGCAGAUAUCAGGAGGAACACCGGUGGCGAAGGCGCCACUCUGGGCCGUAACUGACGCUGAGGAGCGAAAGCAUGGGUAGCAAACAGGAUUAGAUACCCUGGUAGUCC
rnacentral:rRNA from 1 species